CAGUAGCCGCGGGAACACGUAGGUGGCAAGCGUUGUCCGGAAUUAUUGGGCGUAAAGGGCUCGCAGGCGGUUUCUUAAGUCUGAUGUGAGAGCCCCCGGCUCAACCGGGGAGGGUCAUUGGAAACUGGGUAACUUGAGUGCAGAAGAGGAGAGUGGAAUUCCACGUGUAGCGGUGAAAUGCGUAGAGAUGUGGAGGAACACCAGUGGCGAAGGCGACUCUCUGGUCUGUAACUGACGCUGAGGAGCGAAAGCGUGGGGAGCGAACAGGAUUAGAUACCCCCGUAGUCCCUGUCUCUUAUAC
rnacentral:rRNA from 1 species